rnacentral:rRNA from 1 species
GACGAACGCUGGCGGCGUGCUUAACACAUGCAAGUCGAACGGAAAGGCCCUGCUUUUGUGGGGUGCUCGAGUGGCGAACGGGUGAGUAACACGUGAGUAACCUGCCCUUGACUUUGGGAUAACUUCAGGAAACUGGGGCUAAUACCGGAUAGGAGCUCCUGCUGCAUGGUGGGGGUUGGAAAGUUUCGGCGGUUGGGGAUGGACUCGCGGCUUAUCAGCUUGUUGGUGGGGUAGUGGCUUACCAAGGCUUUGACGGGUAGCCGGCCUGAGAGGGUGACCGGCCACAUUGGGACUGAGAUACGGCCCAGACUCCUACGGGAGGCAGCAGUGGGGAAUAUUGCACAAUGGGCGGAAGCCUGAUGCAGCAACGCCGCGUGCGGGAUGACGGCCUUCGGGUUGUAAACCGCUUACGCCUGUGACGGAGCGUGAGUGACGGUAAUGGGUAAAGAAGCACCGGCUAACUACGUG